GUCCCACCAGAGAGUUGAGAAACCUCCGCAGUCCUAGAGGGGACGCGGGCAGGGACGCUCUGCUCGGUGCGCGACCCCCGGCAGUCGAGCGGCUCAGAGGACUCCCCCGAGGCGGAGCCUGGGGGUCCCUUUCCUCUGUUGGAAGCUAGCGGAGCGGCGUCGCCGAGACAGAGUCCAGAUCAGGCAGGGGAACCCAACAGGGGAGCCCAGCCCCGGGGCUGCUGCGGGUGGAGGUGGCGCGGCGGAGUGUCGGAGCCCAGCCCAGCGGCCUGGAUCCUACCCCUUGUCAAAGACCAGGCCAUGGAAGCUGUGUUCCCGGCAGCCAGGUGGAAGGAGUUGCUAUCAUUUGAGGAUGUGGCGAUGUACUUCACCAGAGAGGAGUGGGGCCACCUUGACUGGGCUCAAAAGGACCUCUACAGAGAUGUGAUGCUGGAGAACUACAGGAACAUGAUCUUGUUGGGAUUUCAGUUUCCCAAACCUGAGGUGAUCUGUCAGCUGGAGCAGUGGGACGAGCCCUGGAUCCUGGAUCUUCCGAGAGCUCUGAAUAGGAAGGCAUCCAUUAGUGCCUACCCAGGUUCUGAAGCCAGGUACGAGAUGACAAUGCUAACUCCAAAGCAGAAAGUUUCUGAAGAUUUAGAAUCAUAUAGGAUGUCAGUGAUGAUGCAGGAAACAGCCAAGAAACUCUCAGAAAAGUUGUACAAAUGUAAGGAAGUUGUGGACAGUUGCAGGCUUGCCCUUCCUACUGAUGGUGUUGACUACAACAAGGGCUUCCUUCAAAACCUAAACCUUCUUCAAGAUCAGAAUGUUAAAGUAGGGUGGAAGCAGGGCAGAUAUGAUGAGGAUGGGAAACCUUUCAAUCAAAGAUCUUUGCUUUUGAGGCACGAGCAAAUUUUUACAAGAGCAAAAUCUUAUGAAUGCAGUGAAUGUGGAAAAGUCAUUAGGCGUAAGGCAUGGUUUGAUCAACAUCAAAGAAUUCACUUUUUAGAGAAUCCCUUUGAGUGUAAUGUAUGUGGGCAAGCCUUCAAACAGCGAUCGGCUCUUAUUGUCCAUAAACAGUGUCACCUGCAAAGCAAGCCAUAUAAAUGCCCCGACUGUGGAAAGUGUUUCCGCCAGCUUGCAUAUCUUGUUGAACAUAGGAGGAUUCACACCAAAGAAAAACCCUACAAAUGUAGUGAAUGUGAAAAAACAUUCAGUCAGAAUUCAACCCUUAUUCGACAUCAGUUAAUCCAUAGUGGAGAAAAACCCUAUGAAUGCCUUGAGUGUGGAAAAGCCUUUGGUCGGCAUUCAACGCUUCUGUGCCAUCAACAAAUUCACAGUAAACCGAACACACACAAGUGCGCUGAAUGUGGACAGUCCUUUGGCCGGAAUGUGGAUCUCAUUCAGCAUCAAAGAACCCACACAAAGGAGGAAUUCUUUCAAUGUGGAGAAUGUGGAAAAACUUUUAGUUUUAAGAGGAAUCUUUUUCGACACCAGGUUAUUCAUACUGGAAGCAGACCCUUUAGAUGUGACAUAUGUGGAAAAUCUUUCAAGUGGCACACAAGCUUUAUUAAGCAUCAGGGUACUCACAAAGGACAGAUGUCUACAUGAUAUUAACUGGAACUGACACCAUUUAAAGACUAGGACUUACCAUGUACUGCAAGCAGACAGUGUGAUCCAUUUCAUAGCAAGUAUUGUUGUUAAACAUGGCUGGGUGCCUGAGUUCCAACCAAUGGAACAGGAAUGGAAACAAUGUACGCCACUUCCUGGUUUGGCCUUUGAUAACUAUCUCACAUCUCCAAGCUCUUUUUCCAGUGGAGACCAGAAAUCCGCGGGAGAUCUUGGAAACCAUGUAUUGAAGAUGGCAGAGGUGCCAUCAGAUGUCCUCUUUGGAGGAGAGCCACUGCCAGUCAUGGGCAUUUGCCUCAAACUGUUAAAUGGGUAAAAACUAAAUUUGUAUUCUGUUUGAGCAAC